rnacentral:rRNA from 1 species
AGGGCACCACCAGGAGUGGAGCCUGCGGCUUAAUUUGACUCAACACGGGGAAACUUACCCGGCCUGGACACUGGAAGGAUUGACAGAUUGAGAGCUCUUUCUUGAUUCAGUGGGUGGUGGUGCAUGGCCGUUCUUAGUUGGUGGAGCGAUUUGUCAGGUUAAUUCCGAUAACGAACGAGACUCUAGCCUAUUAAAUAGGCUCCCGGCUUUUAAACGCCGGGAGGACUUCUUAGAGGGACAGGUGGCGGUUCAGCCGCACGAAAGAGAGCAAUAACAGGUCUGUGAUGCCCUUUGUUGUCCGGGGCCGCACGCGCGCUACACUGAAGAGAUCAGCGUGCUUUAUGUUCCUGCUCCGACCGGAGUGGGGAACCCAGUGAACCUUCUUCGUGAUUGGGAUAGAAGAUUGUAAUUAUUCUUCUUGAACGAGGAAUUCCCAGUAAAUGCGAGUCAUAAGCUCGCGUUGAUUACGUCCCUGCCCUUUGUACACACCGCCCGUCGCUACUACCGAUUGAACGAUUU